CCUUUAGCUCAGUGACAGAGUGUCUGCCUUGCAAAGCAGAAAGUCCUAGGUUUAAUACCUGGCAUGCUGGA